AUUGAACGCCGGCGGCAUGCCUUACACAUGCAAGUCGAACGGUAGCACAGAGAGCUUGCUCUCGGGUGACGAGUGGCGGACGGGUGAGUAAUGUCUGGGAAACUGCCCGAUGGAGGGGGAUAACUACUGGAAACGGUAGCUAAUACCGCAUAACGUCGCAAGACCAAAGUGGGGGACCUUCGGGCCUCACACCAUCGGAUGUGCCCAGAUGGGAUUAGCUAGUAGGUGGGGUAAUGGCUCACCUAGGGGACGAUCCCUAGCUGGUCUGAGAGGAUGACCAGCCACACUGGAACUGAGACACGGUCCAGACUCCUACGGGAGGCAGCAGUGGGGAAUAUUGCACAAUGGGCGCAAGCCUGAUGCAGCCAUGCCGCGUGUAUGAAGAAGGCCUUCGGGUUGUAAAGUACUUUCAGCGGGGAGGAAGGCGGUGAAGUUAAUAGCUUCACCGAUUGACGUUACCCGCAGAAGAAGCACCGGCUAACUCCGUGCCAGCCGCCGCGGUAACAC
rnacentral:rRNA from 1 species